AGGGCUUGCACUGGCCUUUUCCUCCAGCUUCCUCUUGAGAGUGUUCAUCGUGGACGUUGGAGUUGAAGGAGAAGUGGCAGAGCUUGCUGGAAUCUGAGGUUCUUGGGGUCAAGAAUAAUGUUACUGACCAGGCUGCUUUCCUGCCUCUUCCAAAUUGGAAUUCCCAUCUCGAUCUGGAACAGCUGCUGGGAGGAACAUGCUGCUGGGCAUCACCAUCUCGGGAGUGGUCACCUGAGGAGCAAGAGCAAGGAGAGUCAAAUGGAGAGGAAAGAGACACAAAAUAGGAAAUGUUUAAAAAUUAUUUAAUAAGCAAAAUUACCCUUCACCACUAUAAAGCUAGAGGUGUCACUUUUCAUAGCUCACUGAAGAUUCAUGUUUAUUAGACAAAGCUCACAUCAGUCAAAAGUGUUUCUACGGUUACAUUCUGGACAUAAUUAGCAGUGCACACUUGAAGAAUAAUCUUAUUAUUAAUAUUUUUCCUUUAUGCAGAAUUUUGACUUUGAUCACUGACAAUGUUUUGUCAUGGGCUGUGAAACUUCUUGUGCAACCAAUUAGGUAGAUAAGUUGAAAGGCCCACCUUAAGCUGCUGAAAACAUAAUAAGGGCCCUAAUUAAAUCAUACCUAGUAAAGUACACUGUAAUCUUGAAGCAGGGAGCAUUGUAGUACUGUUUUCAAAAUGUAUUCAGGCAAGAGGAGGAGGGGAGUAAGAGUGAAGGAAAGGGUAAGAAGAAAAGAAGAGAACAAAGGGAAGGCUAAGGACACGCAGACAUGCUGGCAGAUUUUCCAGGAAACAAUAUUUGUAACCCUUUACAAGCUGAUAAUCAUGCACAAACAAGCCUUUUUUUGUGACUCACUUAAGCCCACGAUUUCUUCUGGACUCUCUGCCUAAGGUACACAACAUCAGAGGGAACCUCUGGCCAAUGUCCCAGCCAUAGAGGGUGACCUGCACAGCAAUCUACAACAGGGCAGCCCCACCUUGACCAUGGCCAUUGUUUCUAAACAUAGCAAUUCUGGAAAUUGCCUGGAUGCAAAUAGCUGCAAUUUUAUGGCAGAUCCUUAGAUAUUUCUCUAGGCCUCCCAGCCAGAAGCCUGUCCAGACAAGUUAUCAUUUGCCCUAUGUUAAUUUGAUAGACAGUCCUCGAUACCAAUGGAAGGAACAAAGGUUCUUCAUUCAAACAGAAGCAAUAUCCCUUUGCCUGGUAUGGGGUGGGAAGAGUAGGUGGCGAUGAUAUUUCAAAUAAAUCAGAAACCGCCUCCCAUUUGAUGACAGCCGGAAAUAUGGACUGACCUAGAAGUUACAGGACCAGAAACUGCAAUCACCACUAACCUUUCUACAUGGCUCCCAGCCCCACUUGGCGACAUUAUUUUUCCAUCAAACACAACCAUGCUGCACAGCCAUCUUCACUAUCUGUUGCAAAGACUGGAAUACUUAGAUUUCUCUUCAAAAUUAAUGUUUUAAUUUUUAAUGGUGUAAAAAUCCUACCCUUGCCCAAAAUAGCUACUAACAUGUCCACUAGAAUAUCAGCAAUAGGCCUGACGACUAGAGGAAACCCACACAGCCGCCUCAUCAACAUAAGAUAACUCCCCAUUGUGUUUAGGGUAUUAAAAUAAUUUUAGCAACCCAGAUGCCAACGGUUGCAAAAAGUAAGCCACAGGCACUAUGGAGAACCAUUCUGAGAAACACUAUGUUUACGAAGAGCAGGUGUGUGGCAGGUGAAUGUGUGUGACAUCACAUUCUUGCCCCACAGACAUCUGCACCGCACACAAAGCUCAUCGGCAGCUGGUUAAGGCUAGCUGUUGAUGAAUCGUUAGGAAUGGAGUGGAGAUUGCCAAACUCAUUCCAUCUAUUUUCUUUUUAAUAGAAGGUAUUUCUGACCAGUGUGGUUGGGGAGUCCAGCGGGAAUCCAAGAAGUGAAAGGUCACCGAUUAAUUUAUAGUCCUCAGCCGAUGGGGAGCACGAGGUUGGGGGUAAAAGGGGGAGAAAGGGAAAGGAAAAAAGACUCCCCCCCACCUCCUUUCUCGGUUGUAGCUGCAGGAUCAGUCUUUUCCUGGGAUCUUUAGGAAUUAUGAAAAAUGAAUCAUGAGAAAUAAAAAAAAAAGCCCUACAGAGUAAAAAAGAAUAAAAUUAUCUAACACCUCAGCUGCACAUCAUUAUAGAGAACUGUGGGCUUUUCAUAGGCAUUACAGUAAGGCAGACAUCCCCUCUAACAGACUCAGUACGACGGAUCAGUAAUUGUUUUCAUACACUUUAAUUAGAAAAACUCAGAUGGCUAUGAAUAAUAAUGGAAAAGAGAGACUUUUGCACUUGAAAGGUUGAAGUCAAUCAAGUGUGAAUGACGGCAAAAAAGAAAAAAAAAAGACACCAAUUCAUCAGCCCUCUGUUGUCUCGCUGCGACUUUAAUCAUAAUUCCUGAUUGGGAUUCAAGAAGGCAGUAAGCAGCGGUUCUUUGUCUGCCUCCACCUUCCAUCAAUUAACUCUCCCCGAAAUAUAAUCAUCAACCUUACAUCCUCCUCUGCAUCUUAAUCUGGGCCUCCAAACCUGUAAGCCUUGCCCAAUAUGUGUUUAAGUAACUACUUUUAUCCACCUGCAUCUUCUCAUCUAUAGUGUACCCAACCUCUCCCUGAAAAAAAAAAAGGUGGGGGUUGGUAUAUGAAAUUUUCAUGGGCAAGAAAUUCCCAGGAGGCAAAGAGGAAGAUCCCUAAAGAGAAUCCUGAGGAUCUAGAAAUUCAGGUGGGGUCUAUCUGCACAUGUGUCUGAACAGAGGUUGAGAAUGGAAGCUGCCUUGCUACACUGGCUACUGGAGGGCCUGACGUCAGCAAUCAGACAGUAAUUCCCUUGCGUUUGCCCAUUCUUCCAUCUCCUACCAGCUUCCAAUGCUUUUCACUCAAAGCUUUCAUGCUUUAUCUUAAAGAGCCAUAAACAUAAUCCUGCCAACAGAGCGAAUUGAGGAGUCCUGCUCACUGAGGUGAUGUAUCCAAAGGCAGAUUUCCUUCAACACUUGCCUUGGCACCCCUUUUGUUUUCCAAUCACACCUGGCUACUAAACUGCAUGGAAUUCAGACUGUCCCAGCCAUAGUCUCUGAUGGACAACUGAAAAUGGGAAAGUCAGUAACCCAGCUGUCGGCCAGACAUGGUGGCUCAUUCCUGUAAUCCCAGCACUUUGGGAGGCUGAGGCAGGUGGAUCACUUGAGGUCAGGAGUUCAAGACCAGCCUGGCCAACAUGGUGAAACCCAACUCUACUAAAAAUACAAAAAUCAGCCAGGCGUGGUCAUGCAUGCCUGUAGUCCCAGUUACUCAGGAGGCUGCGACAGGAGAACCGCUUGAACCCAGGAGGCAGAGGUUGCAAUAAACCAAGAUCAUGUCACUGCACUCCAGUCUGCGUGACAGAGUGAGACUCUUUAUAAAUAAAUAAAUAAAUCCCAGCUGUGCUGAGCACCAUUCUGUAAAGACCUUCCCUUUUGCCAGGAACACUGAACCAUGUAGGUUUGUAAGAAGGCAAAACCUGGUUGUACCAUAACCAGGGUCAUGCCAAGUGUGCCAAACUUCAGAGGCCCUCAAAUAACUGGUCCUACCAACAGUUUUCCUGCACAACCUACAUACAUGCUUUCUGUCUCUUUCUUCUCUCCAUCUCUGGCCACGAUCCUACAAUGUCCAUACUUCCAGCCAUGUACUCGACAGUCAAACAAAAAAAGUUCUAAGGUUUGGCCAGAUGACAGUAUACAGUCAGCCCAAACACCUGCACUUUCUACAUUGACUGUACCGUCCACAUUGAUUAUUCCAAUAAUCCAUACAUGAGUAAACAUUUAAUACACUAAAUUACAUCCCCCACUCCAUUCACUAAUGAACCUGAGAAGUAACAAGAAAAAGUUUUUUUGGUUAAGAAAAUGCAGUUGAUUAUAGCCAUUAUAGGAUUGGGGUCUCUCAAGAUUGGCCUCUGCCAUGCAAAAGGCAUUAACCAUGGUGAUCUUCUAGACACCCUAUGUUUUCCUCCCAUACCUUUUGAGCCAAUUAACCUACCUUCCUCCUAGAGCACAUGUACAGUUCAUGGAAACAUGGGAAGAAACCACAAAUUGACUGGGUUGCAGACAGUUUGGAAGCAAACAGUGGCUCUGAUAUAUCCCUAACAAACAGGUUUCAUGCAUAACAAAAGAAAUGGGGAGUUCUACUCCAUGACUGAAUACCUCCCAGUUUCAGCAAUUUUCAUAUACAAUAGAAACAGAAGUGUUCCACACUGAUGCUAAAAAUUUUGGCCUAAUUCCAAAAUACCACAAUUGAGAAGGAGUAGCCUUGAGGGACUCUCAGUUCAUUCAUUUGACCAUCAUUUACUAAACGCUGUACAGGAUCCAUGUGCUGCAUGCUUGUGAGAUGCAGAGAGCAAGACAAAAGUCCUUGACCCCAAGAAGCUUAUGAUCCAGAAUAAUUAAAACUUUAGCAGUCAUAAAAGCCUUAUAAAUCUAAUAAAAGUUACAGACUCCUAGGAAAAUACUUUCACAGAAAGAAUAUUCCAGAUAAUUAGGGGAAAUCACAAGUUCCCCAGAGGGAAAUCUAUGUACUCAAGUAAAGUGCCCUUGAUCUACUAGGAGAGGGGACAUAGGUUCAUAAAUAUAUAGCUCCAAUCUAUGUAUUAGAACUGCGUAUGUAUGUAUCAUAGUUUGGUUCAUUAUUAUUUUGGAUUAUGUUUUCAUGCUUUUCAGGAUUCUGUGAGGUGAGUGGAACCUAAGGCCUCAAGGACCACCUUACACAGCCCAGUGUCUGAGGCUCCCAUGGUUCCACCAGGCCAUUAGCUGGGAACUACAAUGAGGCCCGUUACUUCCAAGGCUGAUGAGAAUGCUGAGGAAACCCGUAACACAGAAACCCACUGGUCCACAGAAGGAGGUUUUCACCUACAGAAAAUCUUUACACAAUAUUCAUCGCCAAAUACCUACAGAAAGUUAAUUCAUACUUGAAAGAUCUCAGAAAGGCAACUUAUGCUCGGUCACUUUUGAGCUUCCCAUGGACUGCUCAAGUUGUCUUGAUGCAUCGUCAAUUAUAUGUUCUUCACUACUAAACAUCACUUACAACAUUAUUCAUUAAUUUCUGCAGAACCAAAUGGAAUAGGAAAUGCCUAGAGGUGAUAUGUGUGUGACCUGCACAUUAUAACGUGGAGUUGUGAACAGAUUACCUCUCUGGGAAUCUUCACAUGAAAAGGCAAUCAGAUUAACUUCUUAUUAGUCCACUGCUAAAAGUAAUGCUAAGAAAGAGAUGUUUUUGGUCGCUUCGAAGAAAGGGGAGACUCUGAGCUACCUGGGAAGGAGAUGCGUUUGGAGGUUGCAGGAGAAUCUGUCAGCUCCUUCUCUGCUUGGCUGGACGAUGCUAGAAGAGAAAGUAGAAGAUGCAAU